rnacentral:rRNA from 1 species
UGGGGAAUAUUGGACAAUGGGCGCAAGCCUGAUCCAGCCAUGCCGCGUGAGUGAUGAAGGCCUUAGGGUUGUAAAGCUCUUUUGUCCGGGACGAUAAUGACGGUACCGGAAGAAUAAGCCCCGGCUAACUUCGUGCCAGCAGCCGCGGUAAUACGAAGGGGGCUAGCGUUGCUCGGAAUCACUGGGCGUAAAGGGCGCGUAGGCGGCCAUUCAAGUCGGGGGUGAAAGCCUGUGGCUCAACCACAGAAUUGCCUUCGAUACUGUUUGGCUUGAGUAUGGUAGAGGUCAGUGGAACUGCGAGUGUAGAGGUGAAAUUCGUAGAUAUUCGCAAGAACACCAGUGGCGAAGGCGGCUGACUGGACCAUUACUGACGCUGAGGCGCGAAAGCGUGGGGAGCAAACA